CCUACGGGGGGCAGCAGUGGGGAAUAUUGGGCAAUGGGCGCAAGCCUGACCCAGCAACGCCGCGUGAAGGAAGAAGGCUUUCGGGUUGUAAACUUCUUUUCUCAGGGACGAAGCAAGUGACGGUACCUGAGGAAUAAGCCACGGCUAACUACGUGCCAGCAGCCGCGGUAAUACGGAGGUGGCAAGCGUUAUCCGGAUGUACUGGGUGUAAAGGGCGUGUAGGCGGGAAAGCAAGUCAGAUGUGAAAACCAUGGGCUCAACCUGUAGCCUGCAUUUGAAACUGUUUUUCUUGAGUACUGGAGAGGCAGACGGAAUUCCUAGUGUAGCGGUGAAAUGCGUAGAUAUUAGGAGGAACACCAGUGGCGAAGGCGGUCUGCUGGACAGCAACUGACGCUGAGGCGCGAAAGCGUGGGGAGCAAACAGGAUUAGAUACCCUUGUAGUC
rnacentral:rRNA from 1 species